UUCUCAUACAUAUAAAAAAAUAAAUUUAAUAUCCUCUCACAUAAAUUUCACUCUAAUUCAAUAAGUAGAUUAUAAGAAAUCUAAAAAACCUUCAUUAGACCUAAAAUUCUACUUUCUAAGACCUUGAUCAACUUAAACCUCAAUAAUCCUCAAUUCAACCGUUAGAUUGAGUUAAGAUUUACAAUACAUAUUAAGCACAACUAUGACCAUUAA
rnacentral:lncRNA from 1 species